rnacentral:miRNA from 1 species
CAUCCAGCCAUCCACCCCAGGCCAUC